GCCUUUACUGACGCUAAAGCUCGAAGGUGCGGGUAUCGAACAGGAUUAGAUACCCUGGUAGUCCGCACGGUAAAACGAUGGAUGCCCGCUGUUGGCGAUAUACAGUCAGCGGCCAAGAGAAAUCGUUAAGCAUCCCACCUGGGGAGUACGCCGGCAACGGUGAAACUCAAAGGAAUUGACGGGGGCCCGCACAAGCGGAGGAACAUGUGGUUUAAUUCGAUGAUACGCGAGGAACCUUACCCGGGCUUGAACUGCACAGGAAGGAUACAGAGAUGUUGACGCCCUUCGGGGCCUGUGUGGAGGUGCUGCAUGGUUGUCGUCAGCUCGUGCCGUGAGGUGUCGGCUUAAGUGCCAUAACGAGCGCAACCCUUUUCAUCAGUUGCCAUCAGGUGAUGCUGGGCACUCUGUUGAUACUGCCACCGUAAGGUGUGAGGAAGGUGGGGAUGACGUCAAAUCAGCACGGCCCUUACGUCCGGGGCUACACACGUGUUACAAUGGGGCAUACAGAAGGCGGGAUCAUGGCAACAUGGUUCAAAUCUUUAAAGUGCUCCUCAGUUCGGAUUGGGGUCUGCAACCCGACCCCAUGAAGCUGGAUUCGCUA
rnacentral:rRNA from 1 species